UACAGAGGGUGCAAGCGUUGUUCGGAAUUAUUGGGCGUAAAGCGCGUGUAGGCGGCCUUGCAAGUCGGGUGUGAAAGCCCCCGGCUCAACUGGGGAGGGUCAUUCGAUACUGAUCGACUCGAAGGCAGGAGAGGGUAGUGGAAUUCCCGGUGUAGUGGUGAAAUGCGUAGAUAUCGGGAGGAACACCAGUGGCGAAGGCGACUACCUGGCCUGUUCUUGACGCUGAGGCGCGAAAGCUAGGGGAGCAAACGGG
rnacentral:rRNA from 1 species